rnacentral:rRNA from 1 species
GGGGGGGGGGGGGGGGGGGCCGAGCGGGGGCAAGGCGAGGGGGGGAGGGGAGCUGGCUCCUGGAUUCAGCGGCGGGCGGGUGAGUAAUGCCUAGGAAUCUGCCUGGUAGUGGGGGAUAACGUCCGGAAACGGGCGCUAAUACCGCAUACGUCCUGAGGGAGAAAGUGGGGGAUCUUCGGACCUCACGCUAUCAGAUGAGCCUAGGUCGGAUUAGCUAGUUGGUGGGGUAAAGGCCUACCAAGGCGACGAUCCGUAACUGGUCUGAGAGGAUGAUCAGUCACACUGGAACUGAGACACGGUCCAGACUCCUACGGGAGGCAGCAGUGGGGAAUAUUGGACAAUGGGCGAAAGCCUGAUCCAGCCAUGCCGCGUGUGUGAAGAAGGUCUUCGGAUUGUAAAGCACUUUAAGUUGGGAGGAAGGGCAGUAAGUUAAUACCUUGCUGUUUUGACGUUACCAACAGAAUAAGCACCGGCUAACUUCGUG